rnacentral:misc_RNA from 1 species
UCGCGGCUUAUCACCGGCAGUCCCCUUAGAGUGCCCAACUAAAUGAUGGCAACACACCACGGGGGUUGCGCUCGUUGCGGGACUUAACCCAACAUCUCACGACACGAGCUGACGGCAGCCAUGCAGCAUCUGUGGAGGUGCCCCGAAGGGAGACCGUGUUUCCACGGCUGUCACCUACAUGUCAAGCCCAGGUAAGGUUCUUCGCGUUGCGUCGAAUUGAACCACAUGCUCCGCUGCUUGUGCGGGCCCCCGUCAAUUCCUUUGAGUUUUAACCUUGCGGCCGUACUCCCCAGGCGGGGCACUUAAUGCGUUAGCUGCGGCACGGAGCGGGUUGAAGACCGCCCCACACCUAGCACCCAACGUUUACGGCUGGGACUAC